GACAAGUAUAUAAAGAAACUAUUAUGGAUGGUUAGCUAUAUAUUUCAAGAUAUUAAUAUCUAGACGAUGGAAUAACUAGAAAUCAUAGAGAAAUCUAAUAAUAAGACAAAGUGAAUUGAAAUAUCUUAGUAACUUUAGGAAAAGAAAUCAAACGAGAUUGUUAUUUGGUGUCUUCUAAAUAGCAAAAGCCUUUUAAAUAUAUAUAUAAAAUGGUAAUACAUUUUAUAUAUAUAUUUUAAAUAAUAUAACGGAAAAAAAUCUGUUAAAACAUAGGGGACCCUUCCUCUAAGGCUAAAAAAAAUAUAUAAGCGAUAGAGUAUCAGUACCGUGAGGGAAAUACACUGAAAUAGUAGGUUUAAAAGCAGCUCAAGUGAAAAUUUAAAUAAAUAAUAAGAGUGUACCUUUUGCAUAAUGGGUCAGCAAGUUAAUUUUAGAUGCAAGUAUUAUACUUAACUACACAUAAUUUAAACCAUAUAACAUAUAUGUGUGUCAAUAUGUGAUAAUGAUAAAGAAUAAUACGUAGAUAAACCAAUUAUGAAAAAAUGAAUAAGUAUCUAGAAUUAGACCCGAAGGCUAGUGAUCUUACCAUGGUCAGGGUUAUAAAAGCCCGAACGGGUUAUCGUUGUAAAGAUAUCCGAUGAACUGUGGUAAGUUAGUGAAAGACAAAACUGACUAGUAUAGCUGGUUUUCCGCGAAACCUAUGUAAGUAGGUAAUUUAAUUAACAUCUUAGCAGGUACAGAACUGUGAUCUCGGACAAUAUCAUAGAUAUUUGUCAACAUCGGGGGGUUGUAGUGACUUUACCGGAGAGUAUUUGCACUCGGAAGGGCAAAGAUGAAUGUUAAAUAAUCGGACAUAGUGCGAUAAGGUUGUAUGUCUAAAGGGAAACAGCCCAGAACAAGAGUUAAGGUUCCAAAAUUAUUGUUAAGUGAAAUUAAGGAUGUUUUUUUUUAAAACAAUCAGGAAAUAGGCUUAGAAGCGGCCAUUUUUUGAAGACCUCGUAACAGAGCACUGAUUAAUAAUUUAGGAAAAAACGCCGAAAAUUUAACGGAUCUAAAUAAUAUACCGAAACCUUGUACACAAAAAAACAAUAAAUAUAUAGUUUUAUUUUGUGGGGUAGCGGAACAUUGGAUUAAACUGUAUAUUAAUAUUUUUCUUAAAAUAUUAAAAAAAGUAUAAUUAAUAGUUUUAAUUGUAUUUUAAUUAAUUAAAAUACAAUUAAUAUAAUAUAGUAUUAUAUUUAGUAUUAUUAGAUAUUAAGUAUAAUACUUUUUAUAAUUUAUUUACUAUAUAAUAAGUUAUAUAAUCUUAAAUAUUAUCUGUUAAAUCCAAGAGAGAAUGCUGACAUGAGUAACGAAAAAGGCUGUUUAGCCUCGCCUGAAGCUUAUGGUUUUUAAAAAAAUCGGUGUCUAAAAAGAUUAAUCAAAAGAUAAUUUUGAUGACGUAGGAUUUUAUCUAAGUAAUAAUAACCAAAACCUUUAACAAGUAAUAAAGGUUCUGGAAAAGUUUAUUAUUUUAUUAGAUAAAUUAUUAUAUUUACUUAAAUUUAUUAGUAUUAACUAAUAAUUAAGGGUACUAAAUAUAAUAUCUAACCGUACCUAGAAACUAACUCAAGUAAGCAAGUAGAGAAUACAAAGGCGUUUGAGAGAACAAUCAUUAAGGAACUCGGCAAAUUGACUCUGUACCUUCGGAAUAAGGAGGGCCAUUAUCAUUAAUUAUGAUAUUAUGUGAUAAAUUACAUAAUAUCUAAUAUAAUGAUAAGAGGAAUCAUGAAAUAAUGUUGUACGACUGUUUAAUAAAAACACAGCACUCUGCAAAGAUAAAAAAUCAAAGUAUUGAGUGUGAUGUCUGCCCAAUGUCGGCUGGGUAACGGAUUUACCUUGAUUAUUAACUGAGGUUUUGAAGGACACCCCGAUUAAUGGCGGCCUUACCUAUGAGGGUCCUAAGGUAGCGAAAUACCUUGGCCGUUAAAUGCGGUCCUGCAUGAAUGACUUAACGAUGCAACAGCUGUCUCGAUGAUUGUCUCAGUGAAAUUGGAAUAGCAGUGCAGAUACUGUUUACCUCUAGAUAGACGAGAAGACCCUAUGCAGCUUUACUGUUACUAAUUACAAGAGUGAAAAUUUAGGAUGAUUUAUAGUGUAUAAGGUAGUUGAUGAGAUAACAAUGAAACACCUUUAUUCGAAUCCUUAUAUAUACUCUUGAUGAUUGGGAGGCAGUUUAUGCGGGGCACAGAUCCCACAAAAAGUACCUGGGUAUAUCCAAAGUUCAUAUUGUAAACUUGUAUAUUUAUAUACAAAUAUUUUAAUUUGUUCUAAUUAUUAUUAUAAUUAUACAGUUAUUAUUCGAUUAAAUUCCACAAUAAUUUUUUAUUUUAAGUAAGAUUUUAACUAUGCGGUGAAUAGAUGUAUUUUAAACUUUACCCUUGGCGCAAGCCAAGGGCUAUAUUAAAAGUUUAUUUGUUAUAUUAAUAAAGUAUUUAUCUUUAUUAAUAUAAUGUUUAUAAAUACUUUAAAAGUUUAAUGGCUAAAUCUUGCUUUACUGUUUGACCUACAAGUCUAUCAGUCGCGUAAGCGGGGCAUAUGAUCACAAGAUGCAUUAAGGAAAGGUCUUGGAUUAUAGAAAAAGUUACGCUAGGGAUUUAUAACUGUGAGUCCUCCAAUAUUAUAAAAUAUUGGUAAU
rfam:Penicillium arizonense strain CBS 141311 PENARI_contig071, whole genome shotgun sequence.